UACGAAGGGGGCUAGCGUUGCUCGGAAUCACUGGGCGUAAAGGGUGCGUAGGCGGGUCUUUAAGUCAGGGGGGAAAUCCUGGAGCUCAACUCCAGAACUGCCUUUGAUACUGAGGAUCUUGAGUUCGGGAGAGGUGAGUGGAACUGCGAGUGUAGAGGUGAAAUUCGUAGAUAUUAGCAAGAACACCAGUGGCGAAGGCGGCUCACUGGCCCGGUACUGACGCUGAGGUACGAAAGCGUGGGGAGCAAACAGG
rnacentral:rRNA from 1 species